GAUGAACGCUGGCGGCGUGCCUAAUACAUGCAAGUCGAGCGAACAGACGAGGAGCUUGCUCCUCUGACGUUAGCGGCGGGCGGGUGAGUAACACGUGUAUCACCUACCUAUAAGACUGGGAUAACUUCGGGAAACCGGCGCUAAUACCGGAUAAUAUCUUGCACCGCAUGGUUCAAUAGUAAAAUACGGUUUUUCUGUCACUUAUAGCUGGAUCCGCGCCGCAUUAGCUAGUUGUGAAGGUAACGGCUUACCAAGGCAACGAUGCGUAACCGAACGCAGAGGGGGAUAGGCAACACUGGAAGGGGGACACGGACAAGGAGCCUAAGGGAGGGAGCAGUAGGGAAUGUGACGCAAAGGGCGAAAGCAUGACGGAGUAAGGCGGAGCGAGAGACGAAGGCCUUCGGAGCGGAAAAAUCUGUUACUAGGGAAGAACAAAUGUGGAAGUAAAUAUGCAGGUAGUGACGGUAACGAAUAAGAAAGCAACGGCUAACUACGUG
rnacentral:rRNA from 1 species